rnacentral:tRNA from 1 species
GGGCCGGUAGUGUAGUGGAUAGCACGUCGCGUCUAGAUGUGAAGGGGAGUGGUUCGAUUCCCUUCUGAUCCA